rnacentral:rRNA from 1 species
GAUGAACGCUGGCGGCGUGCCUAAUACAUGCAAGUCGAGCGAACAGACGAGGAGCUUGCUCCUCUGACGUUAGCGGCGGACGGGUGAGUAACACGUGGAUAACCUACCUAUAAGACUGGGAUAACUUCGGGAAACUGGAGCUAAUACCGGAUAAUAUAUUGAACCGCAUGGUUCAAUAGUGAAAGACGGUUUUGCUGUCACUUAUAGAUGGAUCCGCGCCGCAUUAGCUAGUUGGUAAGGUAACGGCUUACCAAGGCAACGAUGCGUAGCCGACCUGAGAGGGUGAUCGGCCACACUGGAACUGGGACACGGUCCAGACUCCUACGGGAGGCAGCAGUAGGGAAUCUUCCGCAAAGGGCGAAAGCCUGACGGAGCAACGCCGCGUGAGUGAUGAAGGUCUUCGGAUCGUAAAACUCUGUUAUUAGGGAAGAACAAAUGUGUAAGUAACUAUGCACGUCUUGACGGUACCUAAUCAGAAAGCCACGGCUAACUACGUG